ACGGGUGAGUAAUGUCUGGGAAACUGCCCGAUGGAGGGGGAUAACUACUGGAAACGGUAGCUAAUACCGCAUAACGUCGCAAGACCAAAGUGGGGGACCUUCGGGCCUCACACCAUCGGAUGUGCCCAGAUGGGAUUAGCUAGUAGGUGGGGUAAUGGCUCACCUAGGCGACGAUCCCUAGCUGGUCUGAGAGGAUGACCAGCCACACUGGAACUGAGACACGGUCCAGACUCCUACGGGAGGCAGCAGUGGGGAAUAUUGCACAAUGGGCGCAAGCCUGAUGCAGCCAUGCCGCGUGUAUGAAGAAGGCCUUCGGGUUGUAAAGUACUUUCAGCGGGGAGGAAGGCGGUGGAGUUAAUAGCUUCACCGAUUGACGUUACCCGCAGAAGAAGCACCGGCUAACUCCGUGCCAGCAGCCGCGGUAAUACGGAGGGUGCAAGCGUUAAUCGGAAUUACUGGGCGUAAAGCGCACGCAGGCGGUCUGUCAAGUCGGAUGUGAAAUCCCCGGGCUUAACCUGGGAACUGCAUUCGAAACUGGCAGGCUAGAGUCUUGUAGAGGGGGGUAGAAUUCCAGGUGUAGCG
rnacentral:rRNA from 1 species